GAGGAAUAUUGGUCAAUGGACGAGAGUCUGAACCAGCCAAGUAGCGUGAAGGAUGACUGCCCUAUGGGUUGUAAACUUCUUUUAUACGGGAAUAAAGUUAGCCACGUGUGGCUUUUUGUAUGUACCGUAUGAAUAAGGAUCGGCUAACUCCGUGCCAGCAGCCGCGGUAAUACGGAGGAUCCGAGCGUUAUCCGGAUUUAUUGGGUUUAAAGGGAGCGUAGGCGGGUUGUUAAGUCAGUUGUGAAAGUUUGCGGCUCAACCGUAAAAUUGCAGUUGAUACUGGCGACCUUGAGUGCAACAGAGGUAGGCGGAAUUCGUGGUGUAGCGGUGAAAUGCUUAGAUAUCACGAAGAACUCCGAUUGCGAAGGCAGCUUACUGGAUUGUAACUGACGCUGAUGCUCGAAAGUGUGGGUAUCAAACAGGAUUAGAUACCCUGGUAGUCCACACAGUAAACGAUGAAUACUCGCUGUUGGCGAUAUACGGUCAGCGGCCAAGCGAAAGCAUUAAGUAUUCCACCUGGGGAGUACGCCGGCAACGGUGAAACUCAAAGGAAUUGACGGGGGCCCGCACAAGCGGAGGAACAUGUGGUUUAAUUCGAUGAUACGCGAGGAACCUUACCCGGGCUUAAAUUGCAACUGACUGAACCGGAAACGGUUCUUUCUUCGGACAGUUGUGAAGGUGCUGCAUGGUUGUCGUCAGCUCGUGCCGUGAGGUGUCGGCUUAAGUGCCAUAACGAGCGCAACCCUUAUCGAUAGUUACCAUCAGGUUAUGCUGGGGACUCUGUCGAGACUGCCGUCGUAAGAUGUGAGGAAGGUGGGGAUGACGUCAAAUCAGCACGGCCCUUACGUCCGGGGCUACACACGUGUUACAAUGGGGGGUACAGAAGGCAGCUACACGGCGACGUGAUGCUAAUCCCGAAAGCCUCUCUCAGUUCGGAUUGGAGUCUGCAACCCGACUCCAUGAAGCUGGAUUCGCUAGUAAUCGCGCAUCAGCCACGGCGCGGUGAAUACGUUCCCG
rnacentral:rRNA from 1 species